rnacentral:lncRNA from 1 species
AAGUGUAACUGGUUGUGUUUUGUAAAGAAUGAACUGUUUGUUAUAGGUUUAUGUGAUUAUAUUUCGCAUACUUCUCUUAAAUGUCCAAACAUAAAUAUAUAUAUAUGUCGUGUACAUGUUAUUAUUUUGUACAGGUUUUACUUGUACAAAUUUCAUACAAGUAAUUACUUGUAUGAUGCCAUCAUACAGGUUAUUACUUGUAUAAAUAUAAUUUACAAGUAAUAACCCUGUACAAAAUUUUGUGGAGAAAAAAUAAUAACUUGUACAAAUCAUUAUUUUAUAUUGGCCUAUUUGAAGUUCACAACAAAUUGUUUCCCUUUUAACAUAUAAUUCAUUACUUUGCCUAAAGUUAUAAACUCUCAAUAUGUGAGUACAUUUAACAUAUCAAGUAUAUGAGCAAAACUGUUCAUUUAAGUAGUCAAAACUAAAGUGCAGAGAUGGAAAACAGUAUAGAAAAGAAAUUUAAUGAUGAAAUAAUUAAAUUGUGUGAUGACAAUAAUAAUUCUUCUAAUAAUUCAUUAUUUACACGUGAAAGAUACAGAGAGACUAUUGGGAAUGUAAAGAAAGCAAAAUUAAGUUCCAAAAGACUGCCUUCAAGAUAUUUAGCAAUAUGAUAUUUUGAGUGUAGCAGCAUGAAAAACUCAUUCGCAAAGGCGACAUUGUUUUUUUACUAUUGUACAGUAGAUGAACUUUAUCCAUUAACAUUAGAACUGCACAUUCUGGAAUUGGCCAUGGAGGCAUCCACAAGACAUACAAGGAGUUAAUAAAACAAUUUGCCAAUAUCAGCAGAGAAUUUAUCAGAAUUCAUUCAGAUGUGUGAACAAUGUAUUGAAGAGUCGUACUGCAACCACAAAAUUAGUUGUUCGUCCUAUCACUUCUACAGACUUUAAUUCCCGCUGUCAAGUAGACCUUGUACUAUCAGUCAUUUCCAAAUGAGAAUACAAGUGGAUCAUUGCACUACCAGGACCACUUUUUUACUACUUAGGAUCUAUAUACUGCAAAGUGAUAAUGGAAGGGAAUUUACGGCUAUUGUAAUUACAGAACUUAAACAUGUUAAACUCAUUUGGCCAGAGCUGAAAUAAAUGAAUGAGGGGUACCAAUUUUUUUUUGCUUUUAACGACCAUGUCACUUUGCACCAGAAGUCCGUAUUUACGUGGAAUCUAGCUGUUUAGCUAAAUUUGCAUAAGAUGUCACAUGAGCUUAUGUCAUUACUUUGCGUCCUUCGUUCAUCUGUAAACUUCUAACAUUUCAACAAUUAUACUGAUAAACAGAAAAACAAACACAAUAUAAAUUUCAAAAAAUACGAAAGAUAAUGAUUGUAAAGUAUUAUUUUCUCCACAAAAUUUGUACAGGUUAUUACUUGUACAAUUAUAUUUAUACAAGUAAUAACCUGUAUGAUGGCAUCAUACAAGUAAUUACUUGUAUGAAAAUUUUGUACAAGUAAUAACCUGUACAAAAUAAUAAAAUGUACACGACAUAUAUAUAUGAGAGAUAUGUUUUGUCUUCAAUUUUAUUUAUGCAAACCACUGAAUUCCUAAUGUUCACUAAAAAAAUGUAGAACGAAAACAAGAUUGAGUAGC